rnacentral:lncRNA from 1 species
GCGGAAGGGUGGUAGGCACAGACGGAGCCUUGCAGAAGGUGAAGGGACAGCGUUGGCGGGAAGGCCCGGAGCUCUGGCACGCGGACAGGUAUAGUAUUUGGUCUGCUCUUGAGCCAUCCUCUCAGGAGAGGAGGCUUCCCCUCCCUGCCUCAGCCCGACCUCCUUGGACGUUCCCUAUAGUGAUGCACCUUGUGUGCCGGGGUCGUGCACGCGCUGCUUGCUUGACGUGUAUAGUCUUAGGCACGCGGCUCCGAAAGCUGGACCCGCAACUCGCAGCCCUGCGCAGCCGGCGUCGGUGCCCCAGCACAGGCCUCGAAGCUACCUAUCCCGCUGGGCCUGGCAGAGCAGGAAGGCCGCCUUUCUCCAUCUCCUGGCCUCCUGGCUGCUUGGAUAUGUGCGUUUCCUCCCCACCUCUUCCUUUAUCCUGUGUCUCUUUCCUUGCCGAGGUGGAAAAGAUCCAGGGAGAAAAGCUACCCCCUGGUCAUUUUCCAGGGUACCCGAGACAGCAACGGUGGCUGCUAGGCUGCUGUGAGGGACAGGGACCGCACUGCUGGCUGCUUUCUCUUUGCCCCUUCCCCUCUGGCAGCCGCCACUCUUAUCCCUUGGGCCAUUGGGGUCACACAUUGCUUGGGGAGGAGUUACUGUCAGGUCCUUGGGAGGGCGCACAGGCCCCUGGACUUCUGGGAUAGCCUCCAUAGGGCUGGGUCACCCUGACACUCUCGCUGAACUCCACAUGAACUGGCAUCUAAUCUGUCAAUCACCUCAUCUCCCAGGGGGCUUUGAUGAGCUCGCCAUUCCGGCUUGGAGCCUGGGUAUUGGGGGGGGGGAGUUCCCCACUUGCUGACUCAGGACCUCUCUGGGCCAAAGGUUUUGUCUGGGGAGAGGUACCCCUGAGCUGAAUGGAACUUCACAAGGAAGACAGGGAGGAGGGGAGACCUGAGGUGGAGGAGAGGUGAGACCAGCUUUAAGCCAGUGUGUGACUUUGGUAUGUUUACUAUGCUCUUGACACUAGGUUUACUCUGUGGACACCCCUCAAAGGCAGCUGUGGGUCACAGGUACCCCCAGUUUUCCGUGCUCCGUUCAUACAGCAUGGUAUUUGUGGAGCUGAAUUUGAGUGG